rnacentral:rRNA from 2 species
GUGCCUAUAAUGCAGUCGACGAACUCUGGUAUUGAUUGGUGCUUGCAUCAUGAUUUACAUUUGAGUGAGUGGCGAACUGGUGAGUAACACGUGGGAAACCUGCCCAGAAGCGGGGGAUAACACCUGGAAACAGAUGCUAAUACCGCAUAACAACUUGGACCGCAUGGUCCGAGUUUGAAAGAUGGCUUCGGCUAUCACUUUUGGAUGGUCCCGCGGCGUAUUAGCUAGAUGGUGAGGUAACGGCUCACCAUGGCAAUGAUACGUAGCCGACCUGAGAGGGUAAUCGGCCACAUUGGGACUGAGACACGGCCCAAACUCCUACGGGAGGCAGCAGUAGGGAAUCUUCCACAAUGGACGAAAGUCUGAUGGAGCAACGCCGCGUGAGUGAAGAAGGGUUUCGGCUCGUAAAACUCUGUUGUUAAAGAAGAACAUAUCUGAGAGUAACUGUUCAGGUAUUGACGGUAUUUAACCAGAAAGCCACGGCUAACUACGUGCCAGCAGCCGCGGUAAUACGUAGGUGGCAAGCGUUGUCCGGAUUUAUUGGGCGUAAAGCGAGCGCAGGCGGUUUUUUAAGUCUGAUGUGAAAGCCUUCGGCUCAACCGAAGAAGUGCAUCGGAAACUGGGAAACUUGAGUGCAGAAGAGGACAGUGGAACUCCAUGUGUAGCGGUGAAAUGCGUAGAUAUAUGGAAGAACACCAGUGGCGAAGGCGGCUGUCUGGUCUGUAACUGACGCUGAGGCUCGAAAGUAUGGGUAGCAAACAGGAUUAGAUACCCUGGUAGUCCAUACCGUAAACGAUGAAUGCUAAGUGUUGGAGGGUUUCCGCCCUUCAGUGCUGCAGCUAACGCAUUAAGCAUUCCGCCUGGGGAGUACGGCCGCAAGGCUGAAACUCAAAGGAAUUGACGGGGGCCCGCACAAGCGGUGGAGCAUGUGGUUUAAUUCGAAGCUACGCGAAGAACCUUACCAGGUCUUGACAUACUAUGCAAAUCUAAGAGAUUAGACGUUCCCUUCGGGGACAUGGAUACAGGUGGUGCAUGGUUGUCGUCAGCUCGUGUCGUGAGAUGUUGGGUUAAGUCCCGCAACGAGCGCAACCCUUAUUAUCAGUUGCCAGCAUUAAGUUGGGCACUCUGGUGAGACUGCCGGUGACAAACCGGAGGAAGGUGGGGAUGACGUCAAAUCAUCAUGCCCCUUAUGACCUGGGCUACACACGUGCUACAAUGGAUGGUACAACGAGUUGCGAACUCGCGAGAGUAAGCUAAUCUCUUAAAGCCAUUCUCAGUUCGGAUUGUAGGCUGCAACUCGCCUACAUGAAGUCGGAAUCGCUAGUAAUCGCGGAUCAGCAUGCCGCGGUGAAUACGUUCCCGGGCCUUGUACACACCGCCCGUCACACCAUGAGAGUUUGUAACACCCAAAGUCGGUGGGGUAACCUUUUAGGAACC